rnacentral:rRNA from 1 species
GGGCGAAAGCCUGAAGCAGCAACGCCGCGUGAGGGAUGAAGGCCUUCGGGUUGUAAACCUCUUUUCUCAGGGACGAUGAUGACGGUACCUGAGGAAUAAGCCACGGCUAACUACGUGCCAGCAGCCGCGGUAAUACGUAGGUGGCAAGCGUUGUCCGGAUUUACUGGGCGUAAAGAGCGCGCAGGCGGCCGAAUAAGUCGAAUGUGAAAGCCCCCGGCUCAACUGGGGAACGUCAUUCGAUACUGUUCGGCUCGAAGAUAGGAGAGGGAAGCGGAAUUUCAGGUGUAGUGGUGAAAUGCGUAGAUAUCUGAAGGAACACCAGUGGCGAAGGCGGCUUUCUGGCCUAUUCUUGACGCUGAGGCGCGAAAGCUAGGGGAGCGAACGGGAUUAGAUACCCCGGUAGUCCUAGCCGUAAACGAUGAACACUAGAUGUUGGUGGUAUCAACCCCGCCAGUGUCGUAGCUAACGCAUUAAGUGUUCCGCCUGGGGAGUACGGCCGCAAGGCUA